rnacentral:lncRNA from 1 species
GGGGGGGGGCUCUGGGCACGUGUGUGUGUGUGUGUGUUUCUUUUAACCAUGAAAUUACAUCUUCCACAUCUUCCAGAUCCGGUACUUGGCUUGCUUCCUCUGGAACUGCUUGGUGAGCGGUUGGACACGUGGACAGAGCACAUGGACACUGCCUCUGAUAUGGGGUCCAGAGGUGAGCACCGUGAAUUUGGGUCACUUUCCACCUGUGUAUACCUUUCCUGUCCAUGCUGACGUCAAUGAUGUUAAAAACAGUAGCAGUGCCAAUAAGGGGGAUAAAGUAUUAACAAACAGAUGGAGAAGAGUAAAACAUACAAAGUAAAGUAACACAGUUUGUUCAGCCUUCAGAUAAGAUAUUUAGGUAAUGUUGAUGCUUUCAUAUUUUGUUUUGUGCUGCUGUUAUAUUUGAAUGUACCCUAGCGUUAUCCAUGAGAUGAAGAGUUCCUAGCUGGGUAUUGCUGCUUACAUCAGCAAACUAAUGAAAAUCAUUUACACAUGUAGCUAUUUACAUACGUAAGUCCGACAUUCAUAUGUAGCAUGCGCGUUUCCUCGGAGGUCCCUGCUUUCCGUGGAAAUGUUGCUCCCUCCAGAAGCAGCACGACUGCAAGAGCUCACUGCUGUGACUGUAAGUAUCGAGGGAGUCUUCGUUUGUAUUUGUCAAAAACAUACAGGUAUAAAGUGGGUAUAUCCUGCAGAACUGCCAAGGUGUAAGCUGUGAUAAACCAGGGGAAGCAAGUAAAAUUAAAACGUCAACGUCAUAGAAUAUUAGCUUAUGUGAGUAUUGAUUUCUUAGGGGGGUGAAGGGAGCUUUAUCUCCCCUACCUCUCCAGCAUCCAUUAACGCUGUACAUAUCCUCAAACCAUGUGAUGAAAUCGUAGCUGUGUCCUCCCAUUCAGAUCAGAGCUGAGUCUAUGCCACUUGUGUAUUGGUCCAUCUGAAGAAUCACAUACAUCCACAACUUUCUGACUCACCGCUUUCUCAAAUUUGCCUAAAGUCCAUGCUGGAUCUCAUCUUUCUUGGAAAGAUUUUAUCUUUCUUGGAAAAUAUUUUAUCUUUCUUGGAAAGAUUUUAU